rnacentral:rRNA from 1 species
UAGCGAAGGGGGCUAGCGUUGUUCGGAAUACUGGGCGUAAAGUGUGCGCAGGCGGCUUCUCAAGUCAAGGGGUGAAAGCCCAGAGCUCAACUCUGGAAUUGCCUUUUGAAGACUGAGUGGCUUGAGUACGAGAGAAGGUGAAGUGGAAAUUCCCAGUGUAGAGGUAGAAAUUCGUAGAUAUUGGGAAAGAACACCAAUGGCGAAGGCAGCUCGCUGGGACGGUACUGACGCUGAGACGCGAAAAGCGUGGGGGAGCAAACAGG